rnacentral:lncRNA from 1 species
GACAUAGCAAGGAGACUCAUAUUUAAGAAGAGGAAAAAGGAAGUGUCUCUCUCUUUUCCCCUCGGCUCCUGCUCCAGCGGCAUGAUGUGAUCCACCAGCUAGGAGGGACGCCAAUAAGGCGUCCGAUAAGAUAAGUCUUAUAAAAUAUAUAGAUGUUUGAUAAUUGAUACUGAGCUAACAGAUGAGAAUCCUAGUCAUUGGCCAAGCAGCAUUGUAACUAAUACAAGUCUCUCUGUGUAUUCAUUUGGGCCUAACUUGGGUAGGUGGCUGGUGUAAAGCUUACACGUGGCAGUGGGGCUCAGCGGCUUUUGGCAAAAAGAUUUAUUGUAACACACUGCCUCAGAAAACAAUAUAUCAGCAUCAAUAAACUAAACAGUUUCAAAUUAUAAAGGAUUACCUGCUUCUGGUCCAUACAUGCAUUCUAUACUUAGAAUACGCUAACCUGAAUGUGAUCCUUUUACUGAAACAUUUGACAGCUGUAAAAACAGAUAUUGGAGGACCUGAAAAAACACCCAACAGAAGGUCACCUUAAUACAGAGCCAAGAUUUCUAGAGACAGAAGACAGUGCCUUGGGAGCUAAUAUGAGAAACUAUGUCAGCACCACUGAAAGGUAGCAGCAGACGAAAGAUGAAGACACAUGGUAGGAGGAGGAGAAAUAUUUAUUUAAGGAUAUUUCCCCAAACUCAACCAAAAGGAGGUGUCUGACAUGUGUUGAAGAGAUGCUACUGUGAACCUAAGGCCUGCACUGAAUGGAAAGCUUGCUGUACAGACUGCUGCCUGGAUGCUGGCUAGGUUGCUCUCCAAUGAAGACCUGCCAGACAGCAAUCCCUGGACACCCUGGAAAGAAAAUGGGCUACACCUCCUCGACUGCCCUGGAUCCAACUUGUUCCAUUUCAACUGACCCUCCGGCCAGAGCUUCAGGUACUGACUUCAAUCAAGUUGAGGAUUUCAAGAGAGAUCAUCAAUCAAGUAAAUCCCAUCUAACAUGGACUGGAUACAAUACAUUCAAGACUUUUACUAUACUAACAUUUUCUUCUUACAGGACCCCACAAGGAUAUCGUCGUCGCAUUUCAACAGGAAGUAACUUGGAGAAUGCUAUGCCCCCUUUCCCCCAUUGUUGUCACUUAGGAUAGUUUAUAUACCUAGUUAGGGAUAGCUUCCUAUUGUAUAUGAUUGGGAUUGAAAGGAGGUGUUCAUGCUUGGACACCUGUUUCAGAUGACUUUAGGGUUUAGUUAAAAUAGAUAGUUAGAUGUGACAUAAACAGAUUGUUGUAUCUUCUUAUAUUUCACCUUUAUGAUUGUUUAUUUUGGAUACUUUACACUGUUAAGUUUUAAUCCUCUUUUAGACUAAAAGGGGAAUUGUAGGGGAAGCUGUAGCCACACCUACUUAGGGGCUGGCUAAGGUGUGCCUGACCACGCCCUUCACGGGGUUGGGGUGAUGUAGAGUGAGAGGCAGUCAGGUAGCAGGUCACUUUCACUUUUGGUUUCGCUUUGGGCUUGCUGUAUAAACUGCUGCCUGCCUGCUGGCUAGGUUGCUCUGUAAGUAAGGCUUUUUCCUUAUUAAAAUCCCUUGUAACUCUACCUGGCUCCUUGUUGGUAAUUCCUGCGAUAGAGUAGUAGAUUAUAGGUUUAUAAAGACCUGGUAACAUUCUAAAUUUCAUUUUUUAUUUGUUGUACUGUCUCCUUUUUCAUCUCUGCUUUUAUUAAUAUGGGAAAUCUCUCUUCUUUUGGACAAUUUUGCUAAAUGUUUGACAACUUUAUUUUUUCAAAGAAAUGGUCCUUGGUUCAUUAAAUUUCUGUAUGUUUCGAUUGUUUGUGUUAUAUAAUUCAUUGCUACAUGAUUUUGUUCAUUUCUGUCCAUCUUUGUGUGUAGUUUGGUUUGUCUUUGCUUUUACAAGAUAAUAUACUAUAUCAUAAAUUAAUUUAUUUUAGAACUUUAAUUUUUUGAUAGUGAAUUUAGAGCUAUAAAUUUUACUCUUAAAACUUCCUUCAUUGUAUACAAUUGCUUUUGACAUGUUGUGUCUUUAUUGUCAUUUAUUUCUAUGAAUUUGUGUGUCCUUCCUGAUUUCUGCAGUGAGAGUACAUCAGUAAGUAGUAUGCUGUUUGAUCUUCAUGUAUUUAGGUACAAUUUGUAGUUACUGUUGUUGUAGGUGACUAUCCUUUUUUUUUUCAAUAUGAUCAGAUGGAAUGGCUGUUAUAUCAGCUUCCCUAUAUUUGAUGAUGUUUGCUUUAUGCCCUACAUCAUCAAUUUGAGAGAAAGUUUAUGAGCUGCUUAGAAAAAUGUGAACUCGUUAAUGUAUGGAUGAAAUGUUCUAUACAUAUACAGGUCCAUUUGAUUUGCAUGCCAUUUAACUUCAAUGUUUCCUUGUAUGUACUUUUUUGCUUGAAUGACCUAUCUACUGGCAAGAGUGGGGUAUUGAAAUUACCUACUAUCAAUAUGUUGGGGGCUAUUCAAUAAUAUUAUAUUUAGUAGAUUUUGUUUUAUUCAAUCCAUUGUGCAAAUCUGUUCAUCAUUUUAAUAUUCUCUUAAUGGAUUGUCCAAUUAAGAGGUGUGAAAUGAAAUUCUUUAUGGUUCCUAACAAUUUUUAAGUUAAAGUUUAUCUUUCCACAUGUUAUUUUAGCUAUGCCUGUUUAUUUCUUAGUUUAUCAUCCUUUCACUCCUAUGGUACUGGCAAUCUUUUGUAGUUAUGUGUAUUUUUGGUGACACCAAAACAGUAG